CGUCUGCUGCCCUGCCAUACACCACAAUCCCUAACCCUAUCUAUCCUCUUCCGUCUCGCCGCCGCCAGGCCCUUCCCCCUCUGCGCUUAGCCGGCGUGACCCCAGCCAGAUUAGGCCCGCCAGCCGCCGCCAUGCUCCUUCCUCACCCCUCUGCGCGCAGGGUGGACGGCGAGUGGCGGCAAGGGAAGAAGCCAGCGCGACCUCAGGCCGAUCCAAUCGAGAUCGGCCUGACGUAGGACUAGCUGGCAGCGCCGAGCCGCGACGGACGGUAGACCUCGAUGCCAGAAGAAAGGGAGGCGCCAGGAGCCGGUGAAUAGGUCCGAGUCAAACAGAUCUGGCGCCGCUGGCAAAAGCUGGCGGAUAGGUCUGAUUUCACCAGAUCCGGCUUUACCUUUCUUUGCCUGACAUCUUUAUCUGGGAAAAGAAAGAGAUGACGAGCAGCUGCGAUAGGGACCACUAAUCGGAGACGGCGGAUCCACAGACCCCUCCCCUCAACGCUGCCGUUGAGGGCUGCGUCGAUAGUUUCGGUCUUCUUGUAUUUUUAAGAUGUCUUCUUUAAAGAAGAUGUGCUAUGCGGGUAUUACCGCAUGAUCUUUAGGUCGUUUUUUUUUGUUUCUUUUUUUUGUCUAGUGUUUGAAUCAGUAACAACAAAAUAUGUAAAUACGUUAACUUGUGGUAAGAGAUUAAGAUUGUUGGUUCUUUAAAUAAUAUAUUUUUUGUUAGUCUUCUAAUAUUUGAGUGUACAUAUCUCCAAUUUUAUUAUGAACUUACAAAAGUAUUACUUACAGUAACAUAUGUUUUUUUUUUGGUUAUGAUCUAUAUAGUGUUAUCUUGUUAAUGGAUUUAUUCUACCUUUGAUGUAAUCCAAUGCGAACAUGAAAAUAUAGUGAAAUAGCAUAAUUUGUACAUUACUAUUUCUUAUCUUCUUUUAAUAUAGUACUAAACAAAUGUAAGACGUUAUUUGCGGUUUAAAUUAAAUAGCAAAAAUGUCUUACAUUUGUGUACAGAGUUAGUACUAAUAAAACACGUACUCCCUCUGUAAAGAAAUACAAGAGAUUUUCCUUACGGAGGGAGGACAUAUUUUUAACUUUUGUGCUAAUUGAUUAAUAUCGUUGGUUUUGUAAAUAAUAAUUGUUGUCUUCUAAUAUGAUGGUGUAGAUAAUUCUAAAUUUCAGUUAUGAUCUAUAGGGUUCUAUUUUGUUGUUGAGUUUUAUAUUAACUCUUAUAUACUCCAAUGACAUCAUGGAAAUACAGUGCAUAUUUUUUUAUUAUGAUCUACAGAGUGCUAUUUUGUUGGUGGAUUUGUAUUAACUUUGAUGUAAUCUAGUGACAAAUGGAAAUACAGUCACAUAGCAUCUAUAGGUUAUUAUUUUCUUAUCGUAUUUGAAUCUAGUAACAACAAAAUAUGUAAAACUUUUUUGGUAAGGCAUUCAGAUUGUUGGUUUUUAAAUGAUACUAUAACCUUUUUUGUGCUAUUUCUUGGUGGAUUUGUAUUCACUAUGAUGAAAUUUAAUGACAACAUGGAAAUACAGAAUGAUAAGUGAUAACAUGGAAAUGCAGUGACAUAACAUUGUCUGCUAUAUCUUACAAGUUCUGACACACACACACACACACAUAUUACAUUCUUUUGGAAAAUAUAUAUUCUACAUCAUUAUUUCUUAGACUUUGUAGAUGGUUCUAGUUUUCUAAUGUAAUUUGUUAUUUCGUUCAUAAUUUUGUAUUCACUUAACUAGAAGUGAUGAAAAAUUUGUUAAGUUUGUCAUGUUAAAAAAUUGUUAAUUUGUGUUGUUUUAAUUUUAUAACACAAUCUGUUGGUGACAGCUCCAUUGUUUUAUUUGUGUAAAUAUAUGGGUGUUGUAUACAUUUCUUUUUUGACAUAGCAUAGUUAUGCGUCUUUGUUGCAGCAAGUUUUAAUAAAGAUACAUAUUUUAACUUCUGUUAAAGAAUCAAGAUCUUUGUGUUCUUUUGAUGAUAUAGAUUGUUGUGCUCUUCUCUUCUAGUAUGAUGCAUGUCAUGCCAUAAUAUGAUGACAAGUUAUGGUCUUAUAUUUGUUGCACCAAGAUUUAAUAAAUAACAGUAUAUCUUUCGGUGUUGACAAUUAUGUCUUUUUAUUGUAGUUUUUAAAUGUGAUGCUCCUAGCUGAGUAAUUGUCAGUGUACUUGAAUUUAAUGAUAGACCAUUUGUGUUCAUUGUACAUGUUUUUGAGAUAUGUUUGGUUGUUCCUUAAGAUAGAUCAUUUGUCGUCCUCUCGCAUGCUAUGUGUGCUCUAUAUCUUGCAGCUGAAUAGAAAUCUUCAUAUGAGAAUUAGCCUUUCAAAUAUGUACAUGUCCAGGAUUAUUAUGGCAUACUUAGUGGAAUGCAUUGUUGCCAACGUAUCCACUGGUAAAAGAGUUGACUUGUUAUAAAAAUCCAAACGAAUUACAAUUGUGGAGGCCCUGCUUUUCCUCUCUCGAUCCCAUCUAACCGUUUGACUGUGCAGGGACCACUAAUAGAAGACGGCGGAUCCACAUGCCCCUCCCCUCAACGGCUGAGGGCUCUGUCGAUAGCUUCAGUCUUGUAAUUUUAGAUGUAGUGUUUUAAGAAGAUAUGCUGUGCGGGUAUUACGGCAUGAUCUUUAUCUCGAUAUUUUUUCUUUUCUUUUUUGUUUAGCGCUUGAAUCUAGUAACAACAAAACAUGUAAGUACGUUAACUUUGUGGUAAGAGAUUAAGAUUGUUGUUUUUUUAAAUAAUAUAAUUUGUAUUAGUUUUUUGGUGUACAUAGCUCCAAUUUUAUUAUGAAUCUACAGAAGUGCUAUUUACAGUAACAUAACAUUUUGAUUUUUUGUUAUAAUUUGUAGUGUUAUUUUGUCGUUGGAUUUAUAUUAAAUUUUAUGUAAUCCAAUGGCAACAUAGAAAUAUAGUGAAAUAUGCGUGUGGUAAGAGAUUAAGGCCCAGUUCUUUUGGCUGAUUCUCCCAUAAUCUUGAGAAUCGGCCCUCCACCCAGCUUCUCCCAGAAUCCUGAACCCAUGCUUUUUUUACAAUCCUAACUAGUUAGGAUGUGAACAGCUAGGAUUGUAAAAAAAAAAUGGAUACAAGAUUCUGGGAGAAGCUGGGUGGAGGGUCGAUUCGCAAGAUUCUGGGAGAAUCCGCCAAAAGAACCGGGCCUAAGAUUGCUGCUUCUUUAAAUAAUAUAAUUUGUUGUAAUUUUCUAAUAGCAGGGUGUACACGGUUCUAAUUUUAAUUAUGAUCUACGAAGUGCUAUUUACAGUAACAUAAUAUUUAGUUUUUUAAUUAUAAUUUAUAUAGUGUUAUUCUGCCGAUGGAUGUAUAUUAAUUAAUUUUGAUGUUUCCCAAUGACAACAUUUUUUAUUAUGAUCUAUAUAAUGCUAUUUUGUUGAUGGAUUUUUAUUGACUCGGACGAAGUACACAAAUGGAAAUACAGUGACAUCGCAUGAUCUUUGGAUUAUUAUUUACUUAUUGUAUUUUAAUCUAUUAUGAUCUAUAUAUCGCAGUUUAGAUUAAACUCAAUAACGUCCUACAUUUGUGUACUGAGGAAGUAACAAUAAAACAUUUAAAUAUGUUAACUUUUGUCCUAAGUGAUUAAGAUUGUUAAUUCUUUAUAAAUAAUUGUAGUCUUCUAAUAUGACGGUGUAGAUAGUUCUAAUUUUCAGUAUUCAUCUACAGAGUUCUAUUUUGUUAGUGGUUUUAUAUUAACUUUGAUGUAAUCCAAUGACAAUAUGGAAAUACAGUAACAUUUUUUUUUAUGAUUUACAGAGUCCUAUUUUCUUGGUAGAUUUGUAUUAACUCUGAUGUAAUCUAUUGACAACAUGGAAAUACAGUAACACAACAUUUUUUUUUAUAAUCUAUAUAGUUUGUUUUGUUGGUGGAUUUGUAUUAACUCUCAUGUAGUCCAGUGACAAAUAUAGUGCAUUUGGCUUUUAGAGGUUAACUUUUAACACAUUGGAAUAGUUACUUUUAUGCGGCACGAGGACACACCCUUUGCAGAAGCCCAUCGCCAGUGCCUCUGAGUUGAAAAGGUGUCAUCUAGCAGUGCAUAUUUUGUUUCUUUUUCAUUUUCCAACCUUUUGUUAGUGUUUACAGGGAAUCAAUUUAUGUCUUCCAAAUAAGUCCAAAAUAGUUUGCUACGUAUUUGCUAGGCGUGGACUGCUAUUAAAGUUAAGGCUUCGGUCAUCGUUUGCUUUACCUCAUGUGGACGGGCUGCAAGGCUAAUUGUCAAGUACAGGCCCACAAUGCCUGUCCUGUCCGUUGUCAUUCCUCGUCUGAAAACAAAUCAAUUGAAGCGGAGCUUCACAGGUGCAUUUGAGGCAAGACAAAUCAUUAUACCAGAGAGCUGAAUUUCGCAGACAACAUAUGUCUUGAACUUGAGGUUCAGGAUUAAUAGCUCGAUGGUGUACACACAUCAUCUCAGGUCCAAAGUGAUACACACAUCUUAGGCAGCUGAUUCUACUUGGUCCGCAUUAUUACAUAAUAACACUCUCUACUCAGUCCAUGCUUAAACCCCUCACAUUACAGACUACCCAACCAAAUCUUCGCACCAGGAAAUCAAUGCUUUUUUUCCUUGUUCCUGAUCUGUUACAAAUAAAAAUAAGCAGUUUAGUCAUAUAACAUUGAAAACCAUACUAGGGACAUUUAUGUAGUAAAUAAGGGUAAACAAUUUAUGUCAUGGCAAUGUGCCUAUCACUCUUUUUACUGUUAGGCAAAUAUGUGCAGAGAUGACAGUUUGUUAGUUGGGCUUGCAGCUGGGGGGACAGCAGAUGAAGAAGUAUACGGGGGCAUACAGAAUGUCCUUUUACUCGAACAGGGAAGUUGCUGGUGAGGAUUACAGCUGACAAGUCAGCAGACUACGACUUGAGCAGUCAAGCUGUCCACAACCAUUGUCAACCAGGAUUAGACAGCAAGAAACAAAGCUAACCAGCAGAAACCGGAAGCAAAGUUUAACCAGGAUAUAUGCUACUGGUUCUAAUUCAGGCAAGGCAGCUGAAUCACAGUAGAAUUAUGCUGAUGGAAUGCAGGUAAUAGUACUGUAACUGCUUGUUUCACCCUUUCUCCAUCAGUAUAAACUUUGAUAGGUUCAAACUGUGUUACAACCAUUCUUGCUACCCCAGGUUUACCACUGUUGGCAGGUAAUUUUGUACAGGAGAGAAAUCCCUUAGCUUUGUCAGUGCUGGGGUUGAAGAGAAAUCCCUUUUGCAGAUUAUUGUGUAGCAGAAUACCAUUAUUGUACCAUGCAGUAUAUACCAGUUGAAUAAAAUGAGAAUUAUACCUC